CCUACGGGGGGCUGCAGUGAGGAAUCUUGCGCAAUGGGGGAAACCCUGACGCAGCCACGCCGCGUGGAGGAUGAAGGUCCUAUGGAUCGUAAACUCCUUUUCUGAGAGAAGAAGGCUCAUCGAUCGAUGGGUUUGACGGUACCUCAGGAAUAAGCACCGGCUAACUCCGUGCCAGCAGCCGCGGUAAUACGGAGGGUGCAAGCGUUGUCCGGAAUCACUGGGUGUAAAGGGUGUGUAGGCGGGCGUGUAAGUCAGAGGUGAAAGUCAGCGGCUUA
rnacentral:rRNA from 1 species